CAACAGUCAGAUAGAGUAUCAAAAAGCAUUCAAAGCGGUAAUGCGUUGUAAAUCAUAUAUUUAAAGAGGCAUUAGUCUACUGGGCAUGUGUAUAAUGAAAAACAAGCAACAACUACUUUCUACUGCGUAUCUGCACUGCACUACUUUCUACUGCGUGAAAACAAGCAUCAAUUAUUUGAGAAAGUCUUAUCUAGAAUACCAAGGUUGACAAAAGUAACAUUUCAUGAGAAAAAGAAGAAACAGCUGCAGAAACUGCUGACAGAAAGAAUUUAGCUUUUAGCCCCUGCAUACGUGGAGGGACCUAACUAUGGCAAAGGUUUUAACCCUUUAUUUACU